GUGGGUAACGACUGACGGGAA
rnacentral:miRNA from 1 species